AGAUGUUUAACGGACUAAAACGUC
rnacentral:siRNA from 1 species